AGCUUUGCCCUGUGGCAGUAUCAUAGCCAAUAGGUUUAUCUGAGGCGCGAUUAUUGCUAACUGAAAACUUAGAGUCCAACCCAUUGAAAUAUGGUAAAGUAGAAGGAAAUAAUGCC
rnacentral:snRNA from 1 species